rnacentral:rRNA from 1 species
AGCGAACGCUGGCGGCAGGCUUAACACAUGCAAGUCGAGCGGGCGUAGCAAUACGUCAGCGGCAGACGGGUGAGUAACACGUGGGAACGUACCUUUUGGUUCGGAACAACACAGGGAAACUUGUGCUAAUACCGAAUAAGCCCUUACGGGGAAGAUUUAUCGCCGAAAGAUCGGCCCGCGUCUGAUUAGCUUGUUGGUGAGGUAACGGCUCACCAAGGCGACGAUCAGUAGCUGGCUGAGAGGAUGAUCAGCCACACUGGGACUGAGACACGGCCCAGACUCCUACGGGAGGCAGCAGUGGGGAAUAUUGGACAAUGGGGGCAACCCUGAUCCAGCCAUGCCGCGUGAGUGAUGAAGGCCCUAGGGUUGUAAAGCUCUUUUGUGCGGGAAGAUAAUGACGGUACCGCAAGAAUAAGCCCCGGCUAACUUCGUGCCAGCAGCCGCCGUAAU